rnacentral:lncRNA from 1 species
GGAUUAGCCACAAGAAGAAGAGUCCAAGAGACACCAUUAAAAAAUACCUGGAUCCCAGGUUAGUACAAAAAUGCAAGUAUUGACUGGGAUUUUUUAACUGCAAGCUAGCCAGAUUAGUUUAGAGGAUCAAAAUUGAGCUAUGCUGCUCAGUUGUUGUGCUCUUAAAGCUUAUUAAAUAAAUAUAAUAGUCUAGACUCAAGUAUUUGGGAGCUAGCUGGAUUAAGAGGAAAACUGCAAUAAAUACUUUAUAAACUGCUAUUUACAAAAUAACAUCACAAGGAGGGAGAGGUGUUCAAAUGAAGGCUGCCCUAAUUGUGGGAAUCAGCCACACCUGAUGUGAUGGUUUGAAUAAGAAUGGCCCCAUAGGCUUAUAUAUUUGAAUGCUUAGCCAGCAAGGAGUGGACUGUUUGAAAGAAUUAGAAGAAUUAGAGGGUGUGAUCUUGCUGGAGGAAGUAUAUCACUGGGUGUGGGUCUGAGGUUUCGAAAACCCCUGUUAAGCCCAUGAUCUCUCUCUGUGCCCUCCACCCCCUCUGAGGAUUAAGAAGUAGCUCUCCAACUCCACUCCAGGAUACUGCCAGGCUCCCUGCUGUGAUGAUAAUGAAGUAAACUUCUGAAACUGUAAGCAAGCUUCCAAUUAAAAACUUUCCAUUAUAAGAUA